UGGGGAAUCUUCCGCAAUGGGCGCAAGCCUGACGGAGCAACGCCGCGUGAGUGAAGAAGGUCUUCGGAUCGUAAAGCUCUGUUGUCGGGGACGAAAGGAAAGGGGAGGCAAUGCCCCUUUUAAGACGGUACCCGACGAGGAAGCCACGGCUAACUACGUGCCAGCAGCCGCGGUAAUACGUAGGCGGCAAGCGUUGUCCGGAAUUAUUGGGCGUAAAGGGAGCGCAGGUGGGACGGUAAGUCUGUCUUAAAAGGCAAGGGCUCAGCCCCUGUAAGGGACAGAAACUAUCGUUCUUGAGUGCCGGAGAGGAAAGCGGAAUUCCCAGUGUAGCGGUGAAAUGCGUAGAUAUUGGGAAGAACACCAGUGGCGAAGGCGGCUUUCUGGACGGCAACUGACACUGAGGCUCGAAAGCCAGGGUAGCGAACGGGAUUAGAUACCCCGGUAGUCCUGGCCGUAAACGAUGGAUACUAGGUGUAGGGGGUAUCGACCCCUCCUGUGCCGGAGUUAACGCAAUAAGUAUCCCGCCUGGGGAGUACGGUCGCAAGACUG
rnacentral:rRNA from 1 species